GAUUCAGAGCCCACAAACAGCCCUUUCGAGAAGAAUUCCCUGACUUGUUCUCAACUUUCUCAAAGCACUUGUUCAAAGAUAAGUUGUGGCGCACGGAAUUCUUCCAACCAUCUGGAGCUGUCUGGAGAAACAAACCCAAUAGCAUCAGAGCUUCUUCCAUUUCAGCCCACCUGAUGUCAGCAUUUCACUAUCCUGUGUCAUGGGUGAGACAACACAAAUUGUAACAGGAAGGAAGAGAGAAGAGAAGAGAAGAGAAGAGAA